AAAGGAGAGAUAAUUGUUUUGUCCAGACGUUUCUUUUUUGGUAAAAAAAUCAGAUUAGUUCUCCUCUGAAAUGACGAUUGAGAUGGCGAUUCAAAGCUCCAAAAAACACAAAUCCAUGGUGGUAAUGAUGGAAUCAAGGUUGCUUGAAGGGGUGAACACAUUCUGUAGCAAAUCAAAGAUCAACCGAUUAUUCUGAUUUGGAUCUAAGUCAAACCGACGAUUCAGCAGGCGGAACACCUCUCAAGAUUUACCGAUCUACAUAUUUAGAUCGAAGAAAUCUUUGAGAAAGAACCAUGAUUUUGAGAUGAUUGUCGAUAUUUGAAAGACAACAAAACGUGAGAUUGGAAUGACUUCGAAGCGUCUGAAGAAUAUCUGAAGCUGUCAAAAUGGAACGUUUUAAAAUCGAUUCGAAAAAAAAUUGGAAACAAAGCGUCGUGCGUUGGCAUCUUUAGAAACAGAGCUGUAUUGGAUACUUCUGGAUGACAUGGGACAGAUAUAAAACACUCCAUCAAUACAAGUGCAUAUUAAAAGCUUAAAUUGGUAGUGAUUAGGCUUGGAACUGAAACUGGUAGUUAGGAAACAAACCCGUAGAUUGUUUGAUGAAUGUUGAUUGAAGUCUGGUCUUUUUUUAUGUCAAUUUGUUAGAAGUGCUUGAUAAUAGUGUUCAUAUUCCAACGAAAUCCUUUUGCAAUAAAAAAA